GUACCUGUUGUGGCGCCAGCUGCAUCGCAGGGUAGCUAUGUUCGGAUGGGAUAAGUACUGAAAGCAUAUAAGUACGAAGCCCACCUUAAGAUGAGAUUUCUUUCAAGGGUCGUUCGAGACUAGGACGUUGAUAGGCUACAGGUGUAAAGGCAGCAAUGUCAUAGCCGAGUAGUACUAAUUACCCGUAGAUUUUUUACCG
rnacentral:rRNA from 1 species